AUUGAACGCUGGCGGCAUGCCUUACACAUGCAAGUCGAACGGCAGCACGGGAGCUUGCUCCUGGUGGCGAGUGGCGAACGGGUGAGUAAUACAUCGGAACGUACCCAGUAGUGGGGGAUAACGCACCGAAAGGUGCGCUAAUACCGCAUACGACCUAAGGGUGAAAGCGGGGGACCGUAAGGCCUCGCGCUAUUGGAGCGGCCGAUGUCUGAUUGCUAGUUGGCGGGGUAAAGGCCCACCAAGGCGACGAUCAGUAGCUGGUCUGAGAGGACGAUCAGCCACACUGGGACUGAGACACGGCCCAGACUCCUACGGGAGGCAGCAGUGGGGAAUUUUGGACAAUGGGGGCAACCCUGAUCCAGCAAUGCCGCGUGUGCGAAGAAGGCCUUCGGGUUGUAAAGCACUUUUGUCAGGGAAGAAAUCUUUUGGGCUAAUACCCCGGAAGGAUGACGGUACCUGAAGAAUAAGCACCGGCUAACUACGUGCCAGCAGCCGCAGUAA
rnacentral:rRNA from 1 species